AAAUAAAAGUGGGCACUCAGAUGUUGUCAUCCAUUCAUUUAUGAAACACAAAAUGUGAACCUGCACUGAAUUUUCAUUUUUGCACAAUAUCUCCACCAAAUGUAUUUUUAAAAUGCAUGCAUACUUCCCAGUCCUUGGAACCACCCGGAACAGUAAUCUCCUGAACUUUAUUCCCUCAGUUUUUUGGAGAUGCCUAGUGUAAACCACUUAUUAUGAUGAUCAGCUCAUUCACAAGACCUGAUCAUCACUUCAGCUCAUCAGCUGCAUUUCUCUCUGCUCAGCAAAAAAAUGUUUUGUGUGACGUGCUUCUUUUUAUACUAACUUGGUUUAUUCCAAUUUUUACCCUUAAAAAGAGAAAAUACAUUAUCAAUGUCUACUAAAUAUCAACUGAGGAAAAAAGCUAAACAUGCCAAGCAAUCAAAGACUAAUGAAGAUCCAGGUAUUAAAUCAAUUAAGAAGUAUCAAAAGCUACCUAAUCAUCAAGGAACAGAAUUGGCACCACAAUAUGUAAUUGGCAUUUGGAUGAGUGUCCGAUAUGGAUUGUGGGGCACUCAUAUGUCUUUCACGGUGAAAGGUCUGGGUUGGAGUGCCUUCAGUCCCCUGAAGCGGAGCUGAUCAGGUGGAUCAAAAAUGUGGAUAAAAAGCAAUGGGCAAAGGACAGGACAAUGCACCCUGCUGGGAAGAAGUGAAGAGGACUUCAAAAAGGAAAGCCAAGGGGUCACCAGCACACUAGAAGCAGUGGAUAAGCCACUGCACUUACAGUAUAUACACCACUGAAUGCAUAUAUAACCGGCACUGCAUGGACAAUGGUAAAAGUAAGGUGAAUAUUGUCCUGCAUGAUAUAUGCUUGACUGAUGAUUAAGGAUCCCUGGUGUAAGAUUUGUACUUAAUUUAUCCUCCACCCCUAUACUUGUAUGAUGAUAUAGUCCUACCUAUGCCGUCCAAACAGCCUAAGUGAUAUGCCCUGCAUGGGUUCUCUAUAGUUUGUCACCAUUCGUCAUGUCGACACUCAUAAUGUUGACCUUAAAAUGUCAACAUAGCUGUAAUGUCAACAUGCAGUAUGUCAACAUCCAUUAUGUCAACACAGAUACAGUAAAUUGUUGACAUGAUUAGAAUGUUGACAAAACAUUUUUCCUGGUACAGUACCUGGUAGCGGAUCUCCUGCAGCUCCAAUGGAGUCUUCUGGAUUCUGGCGGUCAGGUAAUUGUCCUAUAGCCUAACUCUAACCUUUUCCCCCAGUGAAUAACCCUAACCCUCUGCUCUGUGCAGAAUGUCUACAUUUCCUUUUUUCGAUAUUUCACAUGUUCCCAUUCUGCAGUGUCAUUAUGUUCUAUGUCGACUUUUCAACAAUGUCUACAUCAUGAUUGUCGAUAUUAUAAUUGUAGAUAUUUAGAAUGUUGACAUAGUGACUGCAGGCUGUCCAGCACACUGUAAUCUUUUCAAUUUAAAUUGUAUGUAAUAAAAUACAUUGUUUAAGUUUGGGCUCUGUCUAAACUAAAUAAUAAGGGGCAAAAUUGGCCAUUUUGUUGUUGUAGAUUCAUGGUGAUGCUGCAUCCAGAAAGAAUAGUUGUAAUCAGGAACAGCCAUGCAUGUUGACAGUCUACUGUGAUAUGUUUUACACAGAAAAUUAAUUAAACAAUUAGAUUUCUUUAUAUGUUACAAUGGAUGAGAAAAAUAUGGAUCAGUCUGGAAGACACAAAUGUUACGCUACAGGUGACGUUUUUCUUUUCAUAAUUGAUUCUGGACGGCUCUAGAUCAUUCAUCAGACAAGCAAAUUAUAGGAAUGUAGCAAAUACUGUAGUUAAAUUAGUGUUUUAUGUCUACAGUAUAAUCAUACAGCUUAUUUUAACUGAACAUGUAUUCAUCCUUUAUAGCUGGUCAUUCCCUUAAUAACUACCUGCCGUCUUAACAUGUUUUUUUAUUUGUUUUUCUGAUUUUCCUUUUUUUAUUUACAUAAUUUAUAUUUAACAUUUUAAGAAAUAAACAUACAAAUCAAACAGAUAAAUACAAAAACACAGGCAUAACAAAACCAAUUGAUAAAA